AAUCAACGCUGGCGGCGUGCCUAACACAUGCAAGUCGAACGCGAAAAGGGGCAACCCUGAGUAGAGUGGCGUCCGGGUGAGUAACACGUGGAUAAUCUGCCUGCGGGCGGGGAAUAACUUUCCGAAAGGGGAGGCCAAUACCGCAUAACACCGUAAUAGGGCAUCCUGAUACGGUCAAAGAGGGGGAUCGCAAGACCUCUCGCCUGCAGAGGAGUCCGCGGCCGAUUAGCUAGNGGCGAGGUAACGGCUCACCAAGGCAGCGAUCGGUAGCCGGCCUGAGAGGGCGAACGGCCACACUGGCACUGAAAUACGGGCCAGACUCCUACGGGAGGCAGCAGUUGGGGAAUUUUGGGCAAUGGCCGAAAAGGCUGACCCAGCAACGCCGCGUGAAGGAUGAAA
rnacentral:rRNA from 1 species